AGUUGGCAGACGAGUCCCAAAUAGGACGAAAUGCGCGUUAUCUUGGGU
rnacentral:hammerhead_ribozyme from 1 species